GGGAAAUGCCUAAGCGUCGUCAAAAGAGAAGGAGGAGGUAUCGAGGAGUCUAUCAGACUGAAGAAGAGGCUCUUCUAAAACAAGAGCGCCUUAAAAUUAAACAGAGGGCAACAUCAGCAGAAGCAUAUCAGAAAAAGAAGGACUACAUAAUCCGGCUGGAGGAACAAGUGCAGAGACUUCGUGAGCAGAACAAACGCAAAAAAAGAUCACUGAUGCUUCUGAGAAGCAACGUACUGGUAAAUCCGCCUCUAAGGCCACUGAAGAGAACGUUCUCAGGACCCAUAUAGUGCUCAGCUUAGACACUAUAGAGUGCUACCUCGAGCAGCCCAAACUAUCAUGAUAGCUUAGUACUAUAAUCCUCAAUUUGAACAA